UUUGAGAGGAUCUGCUCCUAGUACGAGAGGACCAGAGUGGACGAACCUCUGGUGUACCGGUUGUGACGCCAGUCGCAUCGCCGGGUAGCUAUGUUCGGAAGGGAUAACCGCUGAAAGCAUCUAAGCGGGAAGCCUACCUCAAGAUAAGAUUUCCCUAGGACUUUAUGUCCUCUAAAGAGCCGUUCGAGACUAGGACGUUGAUAGGUUGGAUGUGGAAGCAUAGUGAUAUGUGAAGCUGACCAAUACUAAUUGCUCGUGAGGCUUGACUAUACAACACCCAAGCAGUUG
rnacentral:rRNA from 2 species